GGUUGGGUAGCUCAGUCGGUAGAGCAGAGGACUGAAAAUCCUCGUGUCGGCGGUUCGAUUCCGUCCCCAACCA
rnacentral:tRNA from 1 species